rnacentral:rRNA from 1 species
GCGUACGUAGGUUGUUUACCGCAUCUCCUGUUAAAUCAUUCCGCACAACGGAGUGGCUGCGGGAGAGAUGGAUAAACUAGAGAUCGGGAGAGGCAAGCGGAAUUGCUGGUGUAGGGGUUAAAUCCGUUAAUAUCAGCAGGAACACCAAAUGUGAAGACAGCUUGCUAGAACGAUUCUGACACUAAGGUACGAAAGCGUGGGGAGCGGAUGGGAUUAGAUACCCCAGUAGUCCACGCCGUAAACGAUGGAUGCUAAGCAUUGGAAGUAUCGACCCUUUCAGUGCUGUCUACCUAAGUUAACACCUUAAGCAUCCCGCCUGGGGAGUACGAGCGCAAGCUUAAAACUCAAAGGAAUAGACGGGGACCCGCACAAGCGGUGGAGCAUGUGGUUCAAUUCGACGAUAAGCGAGGAACCUUACCAAGGUUUGACAUCCAGCUGCAGACUCCGGGAAACCGGAGAGCCUUAGAGGGUGCUGGACAGAUGCUGCAUGGUUGUCGUCAGCUCGUGUCGUGAGAUGUACCGUUAAGUCGGGAAACGAGCGCAACCCCUAUUCUAUGUUUUAUAUGUCAUAGAAGACUGCCCGCUUUAAGUGGGAGGAAGGCGGGGAUGACGUCAAAUCAGCAUGGUUCUUACACCUUGGGCGACACACGUGCUACAAUGGGAAGUACAGAGGGACGCCAAAUCGCAAGAUGGAGCUAAU